rnacentral:rRNA from 1 species
AGUCGGACGGGAUUGAGGAGCUUGCUCUUCAUGAGAGUGGCGCACGGGUGCGUAACACGUAUGUAACCUACCUUUAUCAGGGGGAUAGCCUCUCGAAAGAGAGAUUAAGCCCGCAUAAUAUGAAGACACAGCAUUGUGAUUUCAUCAAAUAUUUAUAGGAUGGAGAUGGGCAUGCGGAACAUUAGCUAGUUGGUAAGGUAAUGGCUUACCAAGGCUACGAUGUUUAGGGGAUCUGAGAGGAUGACCCCCCACACUGGUACUGAGACACGGACCAGACUCCUACGGGAGGCAGCAGUAAGGAAUAUUGGUCAAUGGGCGGAAGCCUGAACCAGCCAUGCCGCGUGCAGGAAGACGGCCCUACGGGUUGUAAACUGCUUUUGUACCGGAAUAAACCCCCGUUCGUGAACGGGGCUGAAUGUACGGUAAGAAUAAGGAUCGGCUAACUCCGUGCCAGCAGCCGCG